CCCUCCCGGCCUCCGCAGAUCCAUUCCCCUCUCUCCCUUCACUCAGCCCCCGCCCCCAAUCCGCCGCCGAACGCGGACCCUGCUCCUGCCGCCGAACGCCCAACCCAGCCCUCCCCUCGCCGGGGCGGCAGCGCUCCUGCGGGCGCUCCUCUGCGUCCGCGGUGCGCGCGACGCCGCGGCCCUUGCCUUCUACUAGCGCUACAAGAAGGGGUUCUCCGCCUCGCUCUCCUCCCCCGCUGCGGCGUCCUCAUCCCCUGCACGCCCGCCUUGCAGCUGCGACUGCCCGGCGCCCCUCUCCCUCAAGUCCAUCGCCCCGGGUGAGCUGUCCAUUCCCAUCCCUCUUCUCAGAUCUUGCCGCUGUCACCCUCUGAUCUGCGUCCGCUCGCCUACCUCCCGGAGCCCCACCUCACGGGGGCCGGUUGCUCCAGAUCUAGCGGCUGGAGUACAAACGGCAUGUGGUAGCCGCAGAUCCCGCCUGGGCGAUGGGCUCUCCCCACGAGGAUUCGCUGCCGCCAUCACCCAAUCCGAGCAGAUGCCGCCCACAGCCAUGGCGCCAUGCGUGCACUUCCCAGAUCCGGUCAGCUUCGGCUGGCUGCUGGGCCUCUCUCUCUCUCUGCCGCUCGUCAUGGCUUCUCGUCUGAUGGGCGUUGAGGCCUCCCUUGCCAACGGAGGCGUGCAGGCCGGCCUCGUUGAGAACCCAGGCGAGGACAACCACGACAUGCGGGUCUCCCUCUUAGGCCUCCCAUCGCUAUCCGUCGUCGAGGUGCCAUUGUUCCUGCUCUACUCCCUGCCUGGAAGACCCCUGCAGCAUGCUGAGCACUUCCUACCUGCCGGCAGCGUACUGGUUUGGGUGGGGGAUAAGCAUUUGGUCAUCAUAUUGCAUCAUUGUUCUCUGUCGGCAGCGUACGGCCCAAAUUGAAAUUAACACAUGCUGAGGUCAGCUCGACUGCUUGUGCACGGGCAGCAAAAUUACAAAUACUGUUCGAUUUCUCUCAGGAUGGAGAUCGUGGCCAAGGCACCUAUGAUGAUUGCGUCUACUGUGUUGGGUCAGAUAGCUUGGUCUAAGUCAGAUAUGAGCAUGUUUAAGCUACAGGGAUGGAGAUCGUGGCCAAGGCACCUUUGGUGAUUGCGUCUACUGUGUAGGGUCAGAUAGCUUGUUCUAAGUCAGAUAUGAGCAUGUUUAAGCUACAGGGUAAGGUAGUCUUUGAGAUUGCAUGCUGUUGCUGCUAGUUUCGUAGUGGACUGGUUGAAAAUUGCCAUGGUGCAAUUAUUGUAAGAUCUUGUGCUAGAUUAAAACUUAAGUUAAGACUAUGGUUUCAUGCUGAAUGAAAACUUGUUUUCUUGUAUGUAUAUGCUGAGAUGGAUCAAAACUUAUUACAUGUAAUGAAUGAAAUAUUUAAUCUGUUGUGUUUA